AUACGGAGGAUCCGAGCGUUAUCCGGAUUUAUUGGGUUUAAAGGGUGCGCAGGCGGGAGAUUAAGUCGGCGGUGAAAUUUUGCAGCUCAAAUGUAAAAGUGCCUUCGAUACUGGGUUUCUUGAGUGUGGAUGAAGUAGGCGGAAUUUGUGGUGUAGCGGGGAAAUGCUUCGAUAUCACGAGGAACUCCGAUUGCGCAGGCAGCUUACUAAACCACUACUGACGCUCAGGCACGAAGGCGUGGGGAUCAAACAGGAUUAGAUACCCUGGUAGUCCACGCAGUAAACGAUGAUUACUAGCUGUUUGCGAUACAAUGUAAGCGGCUGAGCGAAAGCGUUAAGUAAUCCACCUGGGGAGUACGGUCGCAAGAAUGAAACUCAAAUGAAUUGACGGGG
rnacentral:rRNA from 1 species